rnacentral:rRNA from 1 species
UACGUAGGGGGCAAGCGUUAUCCGGAUUUACUGGGUGUAAAGGGAGCGUAGACGGCAGUGCAAGUCUGAAGUGAAAGCCCCGGGCUUAACCCGGGAACUGCUUUGGAAACUGUACGGCUGGAGUGCUGGAGAGGUAAGCGGAAUUCCUAGUGUAGCGGUGAAAUGCGUAGAUAUUAGGAGGAACACCAGUGGCGAAGGCGGCUUACUGGACAGUAACUGACGUUGAGGCUCGAAAGCGUGGGGAGCAAACA